GACAGAGGGUGCAAACGUUGCUCGGAAUUACUGGGCGUAAAGCGCGUGUAGGUGGAUUGGUGUGUCAGAUGUGAAAUCCCUGGGCUCAACCCAGGAACUGCACCUGAAACUACCAGUCUUGAGUGGUGGAGAGGGAAGUGGAAUUCCUGGUGUAGAGGUGAAAUUCGUAGAUAUCAGGAGGAACACCAGUGCCGAAGGCGGCUUCCUGGACACCAACUGACGCUGAGACGCGAAAGCGUGGGGGAGCAAACAGG
rnacentral:rRNA from 1 species